rnacentral:rRNA from 1 species
GGGGCAGCAUAAUGGAUAGCAAUAUCUAUGGUGGCGACCGGCGCACGGGUGCGUAACGCGUAUGCAACCUACCUUUAACAGGGGGAUAACACUGAGAAAUUGGUACUAAUACCCCAUAAUAUCAUAGAAGGCAUCUUUUAUGGUUGAAAAUUCCGAUGGUUAGAGAUGGGCAUGCGUUGUAUUAGCUAGUUGGUGGGGUAACGGCUCACCAAGGCGACGAUACAUAGGGGGACUGAGAGGUUAACCCCCCACACUGGUACUGAGACACGGACCAGACUCCUACGGGAGGCAGCAGUGAGGAAUAUUGGUCAAUGGACGCAAGUCUGAACCAGCCAUGCCGCGUGCAGGAUGACGGCUCUAUGAGUUGUAAACUGCUUUUGUACGAGGGUAAACGCAGAUACGUGUAUCUGUCUGAAAGUAUCGUACGAAUAAGGAUCGGCUAACUCCGUGCCAGCAGCCGCGGUAAUACGGAGGAUUCAAGCGUUAUCCGGAUUUAUUGGGUUUAAAGGGUGCGUAGGCGGUUUGAUAAGUUAGAGGUGAAAUUUCGGGGCUCAACCCUGAACGUGCCUCUAAUACUGUUGAGCUAGAGAGUAGUUGCGGUAGGCGGAAUGUAUGGUGUAGCGGUGAAAUGCUUAGAGAUCAUACAGAACACCGAUUGCGAAGGCAGCUUACCAAACUAUAUCUGACGUUGAGGCACGAAAGCGUGGGGAGCAAACAGGAUUAGAUACCCUGGUAGUCCACGCAGUAAACGAUGAUAACUCGUUGUCGGCGAUACACAGUCGGUGACUAAGU